GACGAACGCUGGCGGUGUGCUUCACACAUGCAAGUCGAACGAGGUAGCAAUACCUAGUGGCGGACGGGUGAGUAACGCGUGGGAAUCUGCCUUUAGAUGGGGGAUAACGGGUCGAAAGACUCGCUAAUACCGCAUAUGACGAAAGUUGAAAGGAGUAAUCCGUCUAAAGAUGAGCCCGCGUCCGAUUAGCUAGUUGGUAGAGUAAAAGCCUACCAAGGCGACGAUCCGGUAGCUGGUCUGAGAGGAGUGAUCAGCCUCAAUGGGACUAGAGACACGGCCCAUACUCCUACGGGAGGCAGCAGUGGGAAUUUUACGCAAUGGGCGAAAGCCUGACGUAGCGACACCGCGUGAGCGAAGAAGCCCCUUGGGGUGUAAAGCUCUGUCAGCUGGAACGAAAAAAUGACGGUACCAGCAGAGGAAGCAUCGGCUAACUACGUGCCAGCAGCCGCGGU
rnacentral:rRNA from 1 species